AUUGAACGCUGGCGGCAGGCCUAACACAUGCGAGUCGAGCGGAUGAAGGGAGCUUGCUCCUGGAUUCAGCGGCGGACGGGUGAGUAAUGCCUAGGAAUCUGCCUGGUAGUGGGGGAUAACGUCCGGAAACGGGCGCUAAUACCGCAUACGUCCUGAGGGAGAAAGUGGGGGAUCUUCGGACCUCACGCUAUCAGAUGAGCCUAGGUCGGAUUAGCUAGUUGGUGGGGUAAAGGCCUACCAAGGCGACGAUCCGUAACUGGUCUGAGAGGAUGAUCAGUCACACUGGAACUGAGACACGGUCCAGACUCCUACGGGAGGCAGCAGUGGGGAAUAUUGGACAAUGGGCGAAAGCCUGAUCCAGCCGUGCCGCGUGUGUGAAGAAGGUCUUCGGAUUGUAAAGCACUUUAAGUUGGGAGGAAGGGCAGUAAGUUAAUACCUUGCUGUUUUGACGUUACCAACAGAAUAAGCACCGGCUAACUUCGUG
rnacentral:rRNA from 1 species